UUUAUGGAGAGUUUGAUCCUGGCUCAGGAUGAACGCUGGCGGCGUGCCUAAUACAUGCAAGUCGAGCGAACUGACGAGGAGCUUGCUCCUUUGACGUUAGCGGCGGACGGGUGAGUAACACGUGGGUAACCUACCUAUAAGACUGGAAUAACUCCGGGAAACCGGGGCUAAUGCCGGAUAACAUGUUGAACCGCAUGGUUCAACAGUGAA
rnacentral:rRNA from 1 species